GUUUAGUUAACAAAUUGGCAGUGAUUAGUUAACAAAUUGGCUGCGAAUAAAUUUGCUCAAGGAGAUUAAGCUGCUUUUGAUAUCCCAUCUGCAAGUUUUACCCGAAAAUGAGUGCCUUCGGGGUACACCUGUUAUCAAGCCUUCACAGGACUAGCACCAAACCACCGAGUAGGAGUUGCAAAGCCGUUCAUUGGGGAGUUUCACAAUGGUUCAGGGGGGCCUACUAAGUGACUGCUAACGUGACUGCCUCCCAAGUCCUUGACAUGCAAGUCCUCUCUACUUACCAAGUGACUGCUAACGUGCCUCAGAGCUGGUGAGGCUUCACCCUCAGCUUCCAACUUCCAAUAUUAGCCUCCAUCAGGGCUCAAGGGAAAAUGCAUGUGAGAAAAGCUUGGGAACCACACGCUAUGAUGAGAGAAAAAUGAGGC
rnacentral:misc_RNA from 1 species